CGUAUGCUAUAUAUUCUAAUGUCAUAUGAUAGUGAUAGUGAUAGAAAGCUAGACCUAUUCCUAGUUAGGACGCCAACCUCUUCAAAACUAGGCAUUAGCCAAGCCUACCAUCUUAAUUUGGUCCUGGUGUGGUCACUCAUUGCUCAUCUCUUCUUAGAUUUAUCAAUAUUUUGGAUUUGGAUUCUGUUAAAUAAAGUACCACUCCACUCCUUCCUAAGUACUGUAACGUCACAUGCUUAUGUAUGCAAAACCCCAAGAUUAUGAUUUUAUAUUUUGAUGGGGGAAAAAUGGAAAUUUGCCACCCAUAUUCCCUAACAAUCCAAAUAUCGUUGAUUCUUUGUUUGACUUUUGGAGAUGCCACCACUAUUCUGCUUUAGUCACUACUCAGUCUCUCACACUUCUUUUUCCCUUCAAAAUCUCAACUCCCUAACCUUUAGCCACCACCACUUACUACCUAGCUCCCUCCGUCCUGCAGCUGCCGGCCAACAUCACCAUUGCUUGCAUUUGAUUUUCCCACCACCUGCAGCCACCGUGAGUGAAUCAUCCUGUGGACUUUCAUCGUGCUCACCAACAUACCUCCAUCAUAUCAAAUGAAAUGGAUGGAUGGGUACAAAAUCAAUCUGUAGCUAGCACAACGUUAAUCAAUUCCGCUCAAUUUUGAGUUUAUGAAAUUGGAAGACAGUGUUUUGCUUUGAUUUCAGUUUAUUUCAAAAUUGGGUUCUUGAAAAAUUUAUUGUAUGACUGAAUCAAUGGAGAUUGUUAUUAAUGGUUAGCAUGGCAUCCACAAGGAGUGGUUUGGUGUACAUAUUGUAACCAAACUUGGAAGAUGACCAAAUUGCGUCACAA